CCUGCUUGGCAGGGGGUUGGACUCGAUGGCCCUUGUGGUCUCUUCCAACUCUAUGAUUCUAUGAUUCUAUGAUUCUAUGAUUCUAUGAGAAACAUAGACAAAUAAAUCAUAGAAUUGUAGAACUGUAGAGUUGGAAGGGACUGCCCUCUGCAAGAGUCAAACCCUCUGCAAUGCAGG